rnacentral:rRNA from 1 species
UACGUAGGGUGCAAGCGUUGUCCGGAAUUAUUGGGCGUAAAGAGCUCGUAGGCGGUUUGUCGCGUCUGCUGUGAAAAACUCGGGGCUUAACUCCGGGCCUGCAGUGGGUACGGGCAGACUAGAGUGCGGUAGGGGGAGACUGGAAUUCCGUGGUGUAGCGGUGAAAUGCGCAGAUAUCAGGAGGAACACCGGGUGGCGGAAGGCGGGUCUCUGGGCCGUAACUGACGCUGAGGAGCGAAAGCGUGGGGAGCGAACAGG